CCUACGGGGGGCAGCAGUGGGGAAUCUUCCGCAAUGGGCGAAAGCCUGACGGAGCAACGCCGCGUGAACGAUGAAGGUCUUAGGAUCGUAAAGUUCUGUUGUUAGGGACGAAGGGUAAGAAUCAUAAUAAGGUUUUUAUUUGACGGUACCUAACGAGGAAGCCACGGCUAACUACGUGCCAGCAGCCGCGGUAAUACGUAGGCGGCAAGCGUUGUCCGGAAUUAUUGGGCGUAAAGGGAGCGCAGGCGGGAAACUAAGCGGAUCUUAAAAGUGCGGGGCUCAACCCCGUAUGGCGCUGGAAACUGUUAGGCUUGAGUGCAGGAGAGGAAAGGGGAAUUCCCAGUGUAGCGGUGAAAUGCGUAGAUAUUGGGAGGAACACCAGUGGCGAAGGCGGCUUUCUGGACUGUAACUGACGCUGAGGCUC
rnacentral:rRNA from 1 species